rnacentral:misc_RNA from 1 species
GAUGAAGAACGUAGCGAAAUGCGAUAAGUAAUGUGGAUUGCAGAAUUCAGUGAAUCAUCGAAUCUUUGAACGCACAUUGCGCCCAUUAGUAUUCUAGUGGGCAUGCCUGUUCGAGCGUCAUUAAGUCCACUUAAGCCCUGCUUAGUGUUGGGAGACUGCUCCAGCGGUGCUACCCUGUAGCUACCCUGCAGCUCCUCAAAGACAGCGGCGGAGUUGUGGUAUCCUCUGAGCUUAGUAACUUGUUCUAGCUUUCGAGUACACCACUUCCCCUGCCGUAAAACCCUUAAUUUUUAAUGGUUGACCUCGGAUCAGGUAGGAAUACCCGCUGAACUUAAGCAUAUCAAUAAGCGGAGGA